rnacentral:lncRNA from 1 species
CCUGACAUAUUUCUUUCUUGGUAAAUGUUAAACCCAAAAAAACACAGCAACCUGUUAUAAGUUGAACACGAAACUCAGUCAGGUAAAUAGAAUCAAUAACAGACUCCAUAAACCCUCAUACUAAAUAUAUCGUGUCAACUCAUCCAAAAUCGAACCACCCCCCAAAAAACAUUGAUUUCACAAUAAAGUAAAAAAGAUCCUUUAACAUUUCCCAGAGACAAAAGAAAAAAACAAAAUAACAGUAGGAUUUGAAAUUGCCCAAAGUCAUGGGUUAACACUAAACAGUUCAGUUGAUGAAUAAGGGUUUCUGACCUUAGAAUUUAGAGACGAAGCAAUCUGCUUUGAGCUGCAGUAAUGGCAAAGGGGGCGGUAGUGGAGAAGAGGAGCGUAAAAUGGUUUUUAUAUAUAUAAGAGGAUCAAAG